rnacentral:rRNA from 1 species
CUGGUUGAUCCUGCCAGACCCGACUGCUAUCGGAUUGGGACUAAGCCAUGCGAGUCAACUCCGCAAGGGGUGGCGCACGGCUCAGUAACACGUAGUCAACCUACCCUGGGGACGGGGAUAACCUCGGGAAACUGAGGCUAAACCCCGAUGGGCCAUGGCUCCUGGAAUGGGCUAUGGCUGAAAUCUACAUGGCCCCAGGAUGGGACUGCGGCCGAUCAGGUUGUUGGUGGGGUAAUGGCCCACCAAGCCUAUAACCGGUGCGGGCUCUGAGAGGAGGAGCCCGGAGAUAGGCACUGAGACAAGGGCCCAGGUCCUAUGGGGCGCAGCAGGCGCGAAACCUCCGCAAUGGGCGAAAGCCCGACGGGGUCAGUCCGAGUGGUUCCCGCUGAGGGAACCUUUUGCCAGCUGUAAACAGGCUGGCGAAUAAGGGGUGGGCAAGUUUGGUGUCAGCCGCCGCGGUAAUACCAGCACCCCGAGUGGUCGGGACGAUUAUUGGGCCUAAAGCAUCCGUAGCCGGCCCAGUAAGUCCUCCGUUAAAUCCAACGGCUCAACCGUUGGGCUGCGGGGGAUACUGCUGGGCUAGGGGACGGGAGAGGCGAGGGAUAUUCCCGGGGUAGGGGUAAAAUCCACUGAUCCCGGGAGGACCACCAGUGGCGAAGGCGCCUCGCUAGAACGUGCCCGACGGUGAGGGAUGAAAGCUGGGGGAGCGAACCGGAUUAGAUACCCGGGUAGUCCCAGCCGUAAACGAUGUAGGCUCGGUGUUGGGCUGCCUCAGUGGCAGCCCAGUGCCGCACGCAAGCCGUUAAGCCUACCGCCUGGGGAGUACGGCCGCAAGGCUGAUACUUAAAGGAAUUGGCGGGGGAGCACCAC